rnacentral:rRNA from 1 species
AUGGUCCUUAACUCAUGUAGGAUUCGAAGACAGGACCUCCUGUUCCAUCAAGAAGAACGCAACCAACUGAACUCCAUUACGCUUGUGUUGAAAACCAAUGUUCCUUCUCAAAUAAUUAGUCCCACCUCACUUCUUUGCACUAAUUCUCACCAAUUUAAAUACGUGGGAGUUAAACAAGUCAACAAGCAGCCUGACUUGAUACAGAAAGAUAACGUGAGAAGAGAACUUGGAAGGGCCCUGUGGAGGGAGAGAGAAGAAAAAGCAUGUAUCAGACCUGGACAAGGAGGGCUGGGUGGAAACACGAGGGAACAAGGACACGGCUGGUAA